CCCAACUUCUUGGAGACUCUACUCAUAAGGUCUUCAAUCGCAGAGAAACUUUUUCUUGGAGUUUUUCUGCCCUGCAUGGCUUCAAACAGCAAAUUCAUCACCAGAGCAGUUCCUUGAUUGAGGAGCCACUUGAUCCGUUCUCACUUGUUGCUGAUGAACUAUCACUCCUUGCUAAUAGGUUACGGGCUAUGGUAGUUGCUGAGGUUCCUAAGCUUGCCUCAGCUGCUGAAUACUUCUUCAAAAUGGGAGUAGAAGGAAAGAGGUUUCGUCCCACGGUAUUGUUGCUGAUGGCUACAGCUUUAAAUGUGCACAUACAUGAACCUAUGCCAAAUGGUGUUGGAGACACUUUGGGUGCGGAACUGCGUACGAGACAGCAAUGCAUAGCUGAAAUUACAGAAAUGAUCCAUGUGGCAAGUCUCCUCCAUGAUGAUGUUCUGGAUGAUGCAGACACUAGACGUGGUAUUGGUUCUUUAAAUUUUGUCAUGGGCAAUAAGGUAGCAGUAUUAGCAGGGGAUUUUCUGCUUUCACGAGCUUGUGUAGCCCUUGCUUCUUUGAAAAACACCGAGGUUGUUUCACUUUUAGCGACAGUUGUAGAGCAUCUUGUGACAGGUGAAACCAUGCAGAUGACUAGUACAUCAGAGCAACGUUGUAGCAUGGAUCACUAUAUGCAAAAGACAUACUACAAGACUGCAUCUUUGAUUUCAAACAGCUGCAAAGCCAUUGCCCUUCUUGCUGGGCAAACAACAGAAGUUGCAAUGUUGGCUUUUGAGUAUGGCAAAAAUCUGGGAUUGGCAUUUCAGUUGAUAGAUGAUGUCCUUGAUUUCACAGGCACAUCUGCUUCACUUGGAAAGGGUUCAUUAUCCGACAUUCGACAUGGAAUUGUGACAGCUCCUAUAUUGUUUGCUAUAGAGGAGUUCCCUCAAUUGCUUGCAGUUGUUCAACGGGGCUUUGACAAACCUGAAAAUGUUGAUAUUGCACUGGAGUACCUUGGGAAGAGCCGCGGAAUACAGAGGACACGGGAGCUAGCUGCAAAGCACGCUAGCCUUGCUGCAACAGCUAUUGAUUCACUACCAGAAACUGACGAUGAAGAAGUAAGAAGGUCGAGGCGUGCACUAGUAGAUCUCACCCAGAGAGUAAUCACAAGAAAUAAGUGACAGGACAUUUUUAAUUCUCAGCAUCCUUAAAGAUUUUUGCAUUUAUUAUUAUUAUUAUUAUUAUAGCAUGAGGGUCAAUGUCCUCUCUUGUUUUUCAUCUUUAUUUAUUCAAUUACUUAAGUCGUUUCAUGAUAAUUUCUGAGGACCUGUUUGUAAAUUGCACAUCAUAUCAUAGGUCCUGCUAGUACCAGCCAUGAGUUUGCUUCGGUGCGUGGAGAGAAUGAACUUGAAUUGGUCCCUAGCGAUCCAAG
rnacentral:misc_RNA from 1 species